rnacentral:rRNA from 1 species
AGAGUUUGAUCCUGGCUCAGGACGAACGCUGGCGGCGUGCCUAACACAUGCAAGUCGAGCGAAGCAAUUAGUAGCUUGCUACUAAUUGACUUAGCGGCGGACGGGUGAGUAACGCGUGGGCAACCUGCCUUACACAGGGGGAUAACACCGGGAAACUGGUGCUAAUACCGUAUGAAAUCAAACUGCGGCAUCGUAGAAUGAUGAAAGGAGUAAUCCGGUGUAAGAUGGGCCCGCGUCCGAUUAGCUAGUUGGUGGGGUAAUGGCCUACCAAGGCGACGAUCGGUAGCCGAACUGAGAGGUUGAUCGGCCACAUUGGGACUGAGACACGGCCCAGACUCCUACGGUAGGCAGCAGUGGGGAAUAUUGCGCAAUGGGGGAAACCCUGACGCAGCAACGCCGCGUGAAGGAUGAAG